rnacentral:rRNA from 1 species
UACAGAGGGCAUAAGCAUUCAUCGGAAUGACUGGGCGUAAAGGGCAUGUAGAUGGCUAAUAAAGUUGAUGGUUAAAAGCCAGAAAGUUCUUUUGGUUCGCCGUCAAUACUAAUUAGCUUGAGUAUCGUAUAAGGUAGUGGAAUUUCUAUUGUAGAGCUAGAAUCCAAUGAUAGUAGAAGGAACAUCAAAGGCGAAGGCAACUACCUGAACGAGAACUGACGUUGAGAAUGCGAAGGCUUGGGGAUCAAACGGG